UGCAAGUCGAGCGCGCCCUUCGGGGUGAGCGGCGGACGGGUGAGUAACGCGUGGGAAUAUGCCCUUCUCUAAGGAAUAGCCUCUGGAAACGGAGAGUAAUACCUUAUACGCCCUUUGGGGGAAAGAUUUAUCGGAGAAGGAUUAGCCCGCGUUAGAUUAGGUAGUUGGUGGGGUAAUGGCCUACCAAGUCUACGGUCUAUAGCUGGUUUUAGAGGAUGAUCAGCAACACUGGGACUGAGACACGGCCCAGACUCCUACGGGAGGCAGCAGUGGGGAAUCUUAGACAAUGGGCGCAAGCCUGAUCUAGCCAUGCCGCGUGUGUGAUGAAGGUCUUAGGAUCGUAAAGCACUUUCGCCAGGGAUGAUAAUGACAGUACCUGGUAAAGAAACCCCGGCUAACUCCGUGCCAGCAGCUGCGGUAAUACGGAGGGGGUUAGCGUUGUUCGGAAUUACUGGGCGUAAAGCGUACGUAGGCGGAUCAGAAAGUUAGGGGUGAAAUCCCGAGGCUCAACCUCGGAACUGCCUCUAAAACUCCUGGUCUUGAGUUCGAGAGAGGUGAGUGGAAUUCCAAGUGUAGAGGUGA
rnacentral:rRNA from 1 species